rnacentral:rRNA from 1 species
AGUGAACGCUGGCGGUGUGCCUAAUACAUGCAAGUCGAGCGAAAGGACAGUAAGCUUGCUUCUCUGAUGGUGGCGGCGGGCGGGCGGGUAACGCAUGGAUAACCUUCCUCUAAUACUGGGAGGACUACGUGGAGCCACUUCUGCUACCAGAUAAUAUUAUCUACCGGUGGAUGCAAGAGUGCAUCGCAGUCUUGCUGUCUCUUUGAGAUGGAUCCGCGCUGCAUUAGCUAGUUGGUAAGGUAACGGCUUACCAAGGCAACGAUGCAUAGCUGACCUGAGAGGGUGAUCGGCCACACUGGAACUGAGACACGGUCCAGACUCCUACGGGAGGCAGCAGUAGGGAAUCUUGCGCAAUGGGCGAAAGCCUGACCGAGCAAUGCCGCGUGAGUGAUGAAGGUCUUCGGAUCGUAAAACUCUGUUAUUAGGAAAGAAAAUAUGUGUAAGUAACUGUGCACAUUUUGACGGUACCUAAUCAGAAAGCAACGGCUAACUACGUG